GGGAUUAUAGUUUAUUAAAAACAUUUAAUUUGCAAUUAAAAAAACUUAAAUCAAGUUAUCUCA
rnacentral:tRNA from 1 species